GACCGCGUAGCUCAGUUAACAGAGCAUUGGGCUGGUAUUCCAAGGGUCGUGGGUUCGAUUCCCACCGUGGCCA
rnacentral:tRNA from 1 species